CAAAAGGGCAACAUUUGCCAAAUGCAUAUGAUUUUUUUGCCUGACAAAGGGAUUCUUCACUUUACCAAAAAAAAAAAAAAAAAAAAAAUCCCCUGAAAGGCAUCUUUAAAUAGUGCGUUCCCUCCGUUGCCCAUAAGCCGUAUUAAGAGCUCAUUAAUUAUCUGCCAGGGAGGCUAGAACUAAGAGGCAAGUUGUAAGGAUGGUUGCCAGGGGAAGAAAUGAUGAUAAAUCAGCACCUAAAUGAAAGUGUAAAUCACGGCGGGGUGUAAGACCCCAUCUACGGAAGGUGAUUUGUACACAGCCUCUCAGAAACGUUAUUAUCAGGAAGCGUGCUUGCAGGAGGUGGGCACACUGUUCACUUGGAACCAGAUUUCCGCCUUUGAAGGGCAUCCGUUUCCCCUCCUUGGUCUCCUCUGCACAGCUUUCAAGGUAUCUUUGAGCUCUCUUGCUUGCGACUAGAACGUGGUCCUGCCUCUGCCACGGCAACUCCCCUGCUAUCCCGUCAGACUCUCCAGGCCCCUCAGGGCUGCAGAUGUCCCUCCCUCUCGUGAGCGUAAGGGAUUUUAUAAAGGGCCAUUCCACCUUCAGCCAGAGUGGUUGGCAACUUGGAUGAGAAGAGGGUGUUCUCCAGGAGUGUUGCUGGUGAUGUACGGGGUGCUCCAUCAGGAAAGAACGUUUAUUGAGUGGUGAGUGGGUGUCAGCACUUGUGUUCAUGCUUCGAUAUACUCUUCAUCAAAAACUGUGGAAAUAAAUGAAGACCACUCGCAUGAGGACCAAGCAGGGUUUGCUACAGGGGAAGUCAGCCACCAUCAUUUGCGUUUGGCAGAAACUUGAAAGGCAGGCAGGAAAAUAGGAAAGCUUUGUAGUGGAAAAAAGGACAUGCUUCAGGUGUGCCCUGAUUAGGCUGUUGGCCUGGGGAAGCUUUGGGCUAAUGAAACAGGACAUCCUGUGCAGUUGGUUAAGGGAGCAGAUGUGACCUUCUCUGUUUGGUGAUAAGUUGGAAACAGGGGCAAAAUUAGGGAAGCUGGCAGUCAUUGAUCAAGUCCUGGCUGUUCGAGGCCAGCUGCCGCAGAGGCUGUAGGUAGGGUUCUGUUUGUAUGUGCGGUCCGGCCAUAUCAUUGUCCAUUUGUAUAUUCAGUCUCUCACUAGAACGGCAUUGCCUCUUUAAGUCACAAGAUCCCAGUAGAGCUUUCUACAGGGAAAUGCAUUGGUUCUCUCCCAGGCAACAGCCAGACUUGUGUUCCUGUCCCUCGAACAUUUCCAGGUGCCUUUAGGAGUGAGCUGGCUCUGUUCUUCCUUUUGGUUGUUCCCUGCUUACCUGGGCUUGGGGGCCUGUGCUCACCAGGGUUGCUGUACAAGAGAAUCAUCUCUCACUCUCUUCCAUUCUGCCUCCUUCUCUGUGCUUUCAUGGUCCUCGGCUUUUCCCACUUAUGGGCAAGGCUUAAUGUCCUUAGGCGGAUCCAUCCCCCCUCUCAACUAGGACUCCUUCAGGACCUUGACUAAAGGGCCAGGUCUGAGUUAUUGUCACAGCUUCAGAGCCCAGCACAGUACCUGACCCACAGAAAGUAUAUGACAAAUGUCUCGUGAAUAAUUCAAU
rnacentral:lncRNA from 1 species